rnacentral:rRNA from 1 species
UACGGAGGAUGCGAGCGUUAUCCGGAUUUAUUGGGUUUAAAGGGUGCGUAGGCGGACGCUUAAGUCAGCGGUAAAAUUGCGGGGCUCAACCUCGUCGAGCCGUUGAAACUGGGUGCCUUGAGUGGGCGAGAAGUACGCGGAAUGCGUGGUGUAGCGGUGAAAUGCAUAGAUAUCACGCAGAACUCCGAUUGCGAAGGCAGCAUACCGGCGCCCUACUGACGCUGAGGCACGAAAGCGUGGGUAUCGAACAGG